UACGUAGGGGGCAAGCGUUGUCCGGAAUCAUUGGGCGUAAAGAGCGUGCAGGCGGCUCGAUAAGUCUGCUGUGAAAGUCCAGGGCUCAACCCUGGAAGGCCGGUGGAAACUGUCGGGCUAGAGUCCGGAAGAGGCGAGUGGAAUUCCCGGUGUAGCGGUGAAAUGCGCAGAUAUUGGGAAGAACACCCGUGGCGAGGGCGGCUCUCUGGAACGCAACUGACGCUGAGACGCGAAAGCGUGGGGAGCAAACAGG
rnacentral:rRNA from 1 species